GGCAGGGACCGAACCCGCAACCUCCUGGUUCCUAGUUGGAUUCGUCAACCAUUGCACCACGACGGGAACUCCUUCUGCCCUUUUUUUGAUGGGGUCGUUUGUUUUUUUGGUAUGGAGCUGCAGAAGGUAUUUAUAAAUUUUGGAGAUGAAUCCUUUGUCAGUUGAUUCACUUGCAAAAUUUUCUCCCACUCCGUGGGUUGUCUUUUCAUUUUGUUUAGGGUUUCCUUUGCUGUGUAGAAACUUUGAAGUUUGAUUAGGUCCCAUUUGUUUAUUUUUGUUUUUAUUGUCAAUACUCUAAGAGGUGGAUCUGAGAAGAUGUUGCUGUGGUUUAUGUCAGAGAGUGUUUGGCCUAUGUUUUCCUCUAAGAGUUUUAUGGUGUCUGGUUUUAUAUCUAGGUCUUUAAUCCAUUUGGAGUUUAUUUUUGUGUCUGGUGUUAGGGAGUGUUCUAAUUUCAUUAUUUUCCAUGUGGCUGUCCAGUUUUCCCAGCACCACUUAUUGAAGGGGCUGUCCUUUCUCCAUUGUAUAUUCUUGCCAUCUUUGUCAUAGAUGAAUUGGCUGUAGGGGCGUGGGUUUAAUUCUGGGUGUUCUAUCCUCUUCCACUGAUCCAUAUUUCUGUCUUUGUGCCAGUACCAUAUGGUUUUUGAUGAUUGUUGCUUUGUAGUAUAGUCUGAAGUCUGGGAACCUGAUUCCUCCAGCUCCAUUUUUCUUUGUCAGGAUGUCUUUGUCUCUUCUGGGUCUUUUGUGCUUCCAAACUAAAACAUUUUGUUCGAGUUCUGUGAAAAAUGUCCUUGGUAGUUUGAUAGGGAUUGCAUUGAAUCUGUAGAUUGCCUUAGGUAGUAUAGUCAUUUGGAUAAUAUUAACUCUUCCAAUCCAUGAGCAUGGUGUAUCUUUCCAUCUAUUUGUGUAAUCUUUGAUUUCUUUCAUCAGUGUCUUAUAGUUUUCAGAGUACAGGGCUUUUGUCUCUUUAGGUAGGUUUAUUCUUUUGGAUGCGAUGGUAAAUGGGAUUGCUUCCCUAAUUUCUCGUUCUGCUCUUUUAUUGUUAGUGUAUAGAAAUGACAUUGAUUUCUGUGUAUUAAUUUUGUAUCCUGUGACUUUGCCAAAUUCAUGUAUGAACUCUAACAGUUUACUGGUAGUCUUUAGGAUUCUCUAGGUAUAGUAUCAUGUCCUCUGCAAAUAGUGAUAGUUUUAUUUCUUCCUUUACAAUUUGGAUUCCUUUUAUUUCUUUUACUUCUGAUUGCUGUGGCUAGGACUUCUAAAACCAUGUUGAAGAGUAGUGGUGAGAGCGGACAUCCUUGUCUUAUUCCUGAUCUCCUGGAAUUCUUUCAGCUUUUCACCAUUGAGAAUGAUGGUAGCUGUGUGUUUGUCAUAUAUGGCCUUUAUGAUGUUGAGGUAAGUUCCCGCUAUGCCCACUUUCUGAAGGGUUUUUAUCAGAAAUGGGUGUUGGAUUUUGUCAAAGGCUUUUUCCGUGUCUAUUGAGAAGAUCAUAUAGUUUUUAUUCUUCAGUUUGUUAAUGUGGUGUAUCACACUGAUGGAUUUGCGGAUAUUGAAGAACCCUUGCAUCCCUGGGAUAAAUCCCACUUGAUCAUGAUGUACAAUCCUUUUAAUGAAUUGUUGGAUGUGGUUUGCUAGUAUUUUGUUGAGGAUUUUUGCAUCGAUGUUCAUCAGUGAAAUUGGCCUGUAAUUUUCUUUUUUUGUGGUAUCUUUGUCUGGUUUUGUUAUCAGGGUUAUGGUGGCCUCACAGAAUGAGUUUGGGGGUAUCCCUUCCUCUGCAAUUUUUUGAAAUAGUUUCAGAAGGAUAGGUGCUAGCUCUUCUCUAAAUGUUUGAUAGAAUUUUCCUGUGAAGCCAUCUGGUCCUGGACUUUUGUUUGUUGGAAGUUUUUAAAUCACAAUUUCAAUUUUGGUUCUUGUGAUGGGUCCAUUCAUCUUUUCUAUUUCAUCUUGGUUUAGUCUUGGAAGAUUGUAGUUUUCUAAGAAUUUGUCCAUUUCUUCUAGGUUUUCCGUUUUGUUGGCGUAUAGUUGCAUAUAGUAUUCUCUUUUGAUCCUUUGUAUUUCUGUGAUGUCUGUUGUUACUUCUCCUUUUUCAUUUCUAAUUUUAUUCAUUUGAGUCCUCUCUCUUUUUUUCUUGAUAAGUCUGGCUAGGGGUUUAUCAAUUUUGUUGAUCUUUUCAAAGAUCCAGGUUUUCAUUUUGUUGAUCUAUUCGACAGUUUUGUUUCUAUUUCAUUGAUUUCUGCUCUGAUCUUUAUGAUUUCUUUCCUUCUACUAACUUUAGGUCGUGUCUGUUGUUCUCUCUCGAGCUGCUUUAGAUGUAAAGUUAGCUUGUUUAUUUGAGCUUUUUCUUGUCUCGUGAGGUGGGCUUGUGUUUCUCUAAACUUUCCUCUUAGAAUGGCUUUUGCUGCAUCCCAUAGGUUUUGGAGUGUUGUAUCUUUGUUUUCAUUUGCUUUUAAGUAUUUUUUUAAUUUCCUCUUUGAUUUCUUCAGUGAUCCAUUGGCUAUUUAGUAGCAUGUUGUUGAGUCUCCACGUGUUUGUGUUUUUUGCAGUUUUGUUCCUGUUGUUGAUUUCCAGUUGUAUAGCGCUAUGGUCGUAAAAGGUGUCUGAUAUGAUGUCAAUUUUAUUAAUGUUACUGAGGCUUGAUUUGUGGCCCAGAAUGUGAUCAAUCCUACAGAAUGCUCCACAUACACUUGAGACGACUGUGUAUUCUGCUGCUUUUGGAUGGAAUGUCAUAUAAAUAUCUAUUAAGUCCAUCUGGCUUAAUGCUUCAUUCAGGGCCAGUGUUUCCUUAUUGAUUUUCUGUCUGGUUGAUCUAUCCAUUGCUGUAAGUGGGGUGUUAAAGUCCCCCACUAUUAUUGUUUUAUUGUUGAUUUCUCCUUUUAAGGUUGUUAGCAGUUGCCUUAUAUAUUGUGAACAUAUGUUGGGUGCGUAGAUAUUUAAAAUUGUUAUAUCUUCUUCUUGGAUUAAUCCUUUGAUCAUUGUAUAAUGACAUUCUUUGUCCCUUAAAAUAUUCUUCAUUUUAAAGUCUAUUUUUUCUGAUAUGAGUAUUGCUACUCCAGCUUUCUUUUGAUCCCCAUUUGCAUGAAAUAUUUUCUUCCAUCCUCUACCUUCAAUUUGUAUGUGUCCCUAGAAAUGAAGUGGGUCUCUUGAAGACAGCAUAUAUAUGGGUCUUGUUUUUGUAUCCAUUCAGCCAGUCUAUGUCUUUUGGUUGGGGCGUUGAGUCCAUUAACAUUUAAGGUAAUUAUUGAUAUGUAUAUUCUUAUUGCAAUUUUAUUAACUGCUUUGGAUUUGUUUUUGUUGCUCUUUUUUUCUUUCCUUCUUCUCUUGUUCUCUCCUCUUCUGGUUUGAUGACUAUCUUUAGUGUUGUAUUUGAGUUUAUUUUUCUUUGUGUAUCAAUUGUAGAUUUUUGGUUUGCAGUUAUUCCGAAGUUUUGAUAUAAGAGUCUAUAUGUAUAUGAGAUUGUUUUAAGUUGUUGUUCUCUUAAUUGCAAGUUCAUUUCCAGUGUCCUGAUUUUGUACCCACCUCUUCUCAUGAUUUCUGAUUUUGGUGGUAUAAUUGUGUGUGGAUGAUUUCAUAUCUUUACUGUGUAGAUACCUUUACUGGUGUGCCUUGUCUUUUGUGGUAUUUUUGUUUCCUGUUGCUGUCUCUUUUUUUCUGCCUAGAGAAGUUCCUUUAGUAUUUGUUGUAAGGCUGGUUUAGUGUUGCUGAAUUCUCUCAGCUUUUGCUUAUCUGUGAAGGUUUUGAUUUCUCCUUCAAAUCUGAAUGAAAGCCUUCCUGGGUAGAGUAAUCUUGGUUGGAGUUUUUUUCCUUUCAUCAUGUUAAGUAUAUCGUGCCACUCCCUUCUGGCCUGCAGAGUUUCUGCUGAAAAAUCUGCCUGCCGAUGACCUUAUUGGGGUUCCCUUGUAUGUUAUUUGUUUCUUUUCCCUAGCUGCUUUCAAGAUUUUCUCUUUGUCUUUAAUUUUGGUCAGUUUGAUUAAUAUGUGUCUCAGUGUAUUCCUCCUUGGGUUUAUUUUAUACGGUACUUGUUGUGCUUCCUGGAUUUGAGCUAGUGGUUCCUUUCCCAUGUGAGGGAAGUUUUUGGCUAUUAUCUUUUGGAAUAUUUUUUCUGUCCUCUUCUCUCUCUCUUCUCCUUCUGGCACCCCUAUAAUACAGAUGUUUGUUCAUUUACCAUUGUUCCAGAGUUCUCUGAGACUCUCUUCAUUUGUUUUCAAUCUUUUUUCUCUUUUCUGUUCUGCAUCCAAGAUUUCCACUAAUCUGUCCUCCACCUUUCUUAUUCGUUAUUCUGCCUCCUAUAUUCUGCCCUUAGCUGCUUUUAGUGAAUUUUUUAUUUCAGUUAUUGAAUUUUGCAUCUCUUCUUGUUUACGUUUUACAUCUUGUAUCUCUUUGCUCAGCGUUUCCUGUAAGUUAUCCAUCUUUGCCUCUAGUUUAUUUCCAAUGCCUUGCAUCAUCUUCAGCAUCAACAGUCUAAAGUCUUUUUCCUGGAGGCUGAGAAUCUCCUCAUCACUUAGGUGAUUUUCUUGGAUUUUUCCUUUCUCCCUCAUCUAGUCAUAGUUUUCUGUCUUUCCAUUUUUAUAGGUUUUGGCAUGGUGACCUUUUUACCGAUACUAGAGUUGUAGCCCCUCCUACUUCUGGUGUCUGCCCCCCUUGUGGCUGAAGUUGGUAUGGGGGCUUGCAGUAGGCUUCCUGCUGGGAGGGGCUGAUGCCUGCUCACUGGUAGGUGGAGCUGAUUCUAAUCCUUCUGGUGUGUGGGGUUUAGUCUCUGGAUGUGAUUAUAGGUGGCUGUGUGCCUGAGGGGUCUUUAGGCAGCCUGUUUACUGAGGGGCAGGGUGGUGAUCCCACCUGGAUUGUUGUUUGCCCUGGAGCUUCUCAGCACUGACUGACAGGUGGGGCCAGAUUUUCCCAAAAUGGCCACCUCCAGAGAAAGGCACACUACUGAAUAUUUCAGAGAGUUUUGCUUCCGAUGUCCUUCCCUCACAACAAGCCACAUUCACCCCUGUUUUCCCAGGAAGUCCUCCAAGAACUGCAGUCAGGUUUGACCCAGAUUCCUAUGGAGACUUUGCUUUGCCCUGGGGCCCAGUGCACAUGAAAGUCUGUGUGUGCCUUUUAAGAAUGGGGUCUC
rnacentral:lncRNA from 1 species